CCUACGGGAUGCACCAGUGGGGAAUUUUCCGCAAUGGGCGAAAGCCUGACGGAGCAAUGACGCGUGGAGGUAGAAGGCCCACGGGUCGUGAACUUCUUUUCCCGGAGAAGAAGCAAUGACGGUAUCUGGGGAAUAAGCAUCGGCUAACUCUGUGCCAGCAGCCGCGGUAAUACAGAGGAUGCAAGCGUUAUCCGGAAUGAUUGGGCGUAAAGCGUCUGUAGGUGGCUUUUUAAGUCCGCCGUCAAAUCCCAGGGCUCAACCCUGGACAGGCGGUGGAAACCAGCAAGCUGGAGUACGGUAGGGGCAGAGGGAAUUUCCGGUGGAGCGGUGAAAUGCGUAGAGAUCGGAAAGAACACCAACGGCGAAAGCACACUGCUGGGCCGACACUGACGCUGAGGCGCGAAAGCGUGGGGAGCAAACAGGAUUAGAUACCCCAGUAGUC
rnacentral:rRNA from 1 species